AUGACAAAUAAUAUUUGCCCCUCUUCCAACUAUUGCCCCUCCUCCACCACGGACUUCAUCACCAGCAGGACAGCGAACAAGCCAGGGGUACACACCAACCUGGCGAGGGGCGAGGUGUGGUUCAGACGCCAUUGCCUGCUGUGCUCAAAGAUCCAGCCAACGCUAUAAUGAAGGAGAGUGAUUUCCUCCCUGGGAACAAUCGGAGG